GAUGAACGCUGGCGGCGUGCCUAAUACAUGCAAGUCGAGCGAACAGACGAGGAGCUUGCUCCUCUGACGUUAGCGGCGGACGGGUGAGUAACACGUGGAUAACCUACCUAUAAGACUGGGAUAACUUCGGGAAACCGGAGCUAAUACCGGAUAAUAUAUUGAACCGCAUGGUUCAAUAGUGAAAGACGGUUUUGCUGUCACUUAUAGAUGGAUCCGCGCCGCAUUAGCUAGUUGGUAAGGUAACGGCUUACCAAGGCAACGAUGCGUAGCCGACCUGAGAGGGUGAUCGGCCACACUGGAACUGAGACACGGUCCAGACUCCUACGGGAGGCAGCAGUAGGGAAUCUUCCGCAAUGGGCGAAAGCUUGACGGAGCAACGCCGCGUGAGUGAUGAAGGUCUUCGGAUUGUAAAACUCUGUUAUUAGGGAAGAACAAAUGUGUAAGUAACUAUGAACGUCUUGACGGUACCUAAUCAGAAAGCCACGGCUAACUACGUG
rnacentral:rRNA from 1 species